rnacentral:lncRNA from 1 species
GGUGUACCAAAAAGAUAUCAAAGAAAAGAAAUGUUCUUCAAAUGUACAAAAUCAAACUCACUUCCCUCAAACGCUCUCUUAUUUCUCUCACUCCGCACAACUCAUAUUAAAACCAACGGAGCAAUAUCCUACGCUCUAUGUCUUCUCCUCUUCCGUCUUCUAAAUGCCUAGCUGAAUUGACCAUCCUUCAUUCUACUCAGCAUGGUCCACACUAACCCAAACCAUCUCAAAAUCUCCCACCAUAAUCAGAAUGCCAUCUCACAAUAGAAGGUGAUCCACAACCUCUCAAAUUCGUGCACGUGAAACACCAACUAACAUAGGAGGCGUCCUCUAACUCAAAUUCUUGCCAGUCAAAAUCGCUCCUCUAGCCGCCAACCAUACAGACCUCUAUAGGUGCCCUUGGGAUCCAUCCUCCUCUAACUCAAAUUUUUGGCAGUCAAAAUCGCUCCUCCAGCCGCCAACCAUACAGACGUCUAUAGGUGCCCUUGGGAUCCAUAUUGAUUAGUGUAGGAAGACUAAAUUAUAAGGUAAACAAUUUUUAUUACUGAUGGAAAGCCCUGUAUACAAGCAAAUUAAAGAUUUUGAACAAAAAAUUGGUCUUGCAAUCAUACAAGACUCCAGAAUUCUUGAGAAAUCCC